GAAGUCAGAUCUGAAAGACCCAUUUUCCUCAGAAUUUCUGCUCCGAGGCCAGUCAAGCACUGUAGAUUCAAGCAUGAGGAUCACCAGUGCGAAGCUUUUCGGAUGUCAACAGCAAAAGUGAUUCUGUAGCUGAGCCCUCCAGGUCAAACACCUGCAUAUGCUCUUGGCCUUCAUGUCUGCAUUUCCCUGGAGGAGGGAAACAAGCCUGCCU